UGUGCCCAGGUGUAUUUUGGGUGUGCCCAGGUGUAUUUUGGGUGUGCCCAGGUGUGUUUUAGGCGUGCCCAGGUGUAUUUUGGGCGUGCCCAGGUGUGUUUUAGGUGUAUUUUGGCCGUGCCCAGGUGUGCCCAGGUGUAUUUUGGCUGUGCCCAGGUGUGUUCUGGUUGUGCCCAGGUGUAUUUUGGCUGUGCCCAGGUGCGCUCCC